rnacentral:tRNA from 1 species
GAGGGUUUAGCUUAAUUAAAGUGUCUGUUUUGCAUCCAGGCGAUGUAAUUUUAUAUUUACAAUCCUUA